ACAGAGGUGGCAAGCGUUGUUCGGAUUUAUUGGGUGUAAAGGGCAGGUAGGUGGUUAUACAAGUCUGGUGUGAAAUCCCACGGCUCAACCGUGGAACUGCAUUGGAAACUGUAUGACUUGAGUACUGGAGAGGUGAGGGGAAUUCUCGGUGUAAGGGUGAAAUCUGUAGAUAUCGAGAGGAACACCAGUGGCGAAGGCGCCUCACUGGCCGGUUACUGACACUGAGCUGCGAAAGCAAGGGGAGCAAACAGGA
rnacentral:rRNA from 1 species